CGCAGUGUGAGUCUAAGCAACACCGGAUGUUUUCCAGCACUUGCUGUGCCAGGCCAGUGAUAUGGUCUGACUUAUUUAAUUCCUCCAGCAGCCCUGUGAGGUAGGGACAAUUAUUAGCUCCAUCCUUCAGAAGAGAAAGCCCAGUCUGACAGGAUGAAGGAGCUCACCUAAGGCCGUACAUCUGCUAAGAGGCAGGUUGAGAUUUAGACCAGGUCCAUCUGACUCCAGAGCUACAGUCUUAACUGCUAGACUCUGCCGUUUCCUAGGGGAAUGCAUCACUUUAAAGCUGGGAGAGAACGAGACUAGUGCAUGAAAAGAGGGGCAGUGAAGAAUCUAUUUUAAAACCGCAGAUGGCAUCUUAGGGGAGGUUGAAGUUUCCAUUGUAGAAGACAGUGAUGCUGUCCCCGUGUUCGGCAAAUACAGACUUGGAGGUCAUGGCUGCAAAAAGCUUGUGGCAAAGGGCAGUUGGAGUAAAUGAGUUGGGAGGUAUGGAAUGCACUAACAGCUUCCUCUAAAGAAAGGGGGGAGCUUGCCUCCUCCUCCCUUGUCCCAGCUCCAGUUCCAAGCUCUCUGACUCCCAGGCCUUCUGUGGAGGCAUGCUCCCUGCCCUGUCCAGCCCCACCAAAGCCCGGGCCCAACCCAGUGUCUUCCAGGGAAAUGGCAGGGGGGGACGGAGCCUGAGAUGACAGCUCCAUGGGGAGCUGCCGAGGCUGCCCUGUCUCCAGAAGCCAAUGGAAGAAACGAAAGAAAGAGGAGGAGAGCCCAGCCCUGCCCCAGUGGAAAGUGGGGCUCCCUGUCCAGUCUGUCAGCGGGAACUUGCCCAAAGUUUUAUUCCUCCCCAAAGAGUCUGAAGGGACUUGCCGUGGGGGGGAGUGAGGGAGGGUGGUUCAGGAAUCUCUAGGGGGUAGAUAUUUUGGUGAAAGAUUGAGCAAGACCAACCACCUGCCUAGGAGACAGGCCUGGCUUCAAACAGGGGUGGCUGCUGGGAUCCCUAAGUAUGUUCUGAGGGAGCUGGGAGGAAGCUGCAAGCUUACUUAUUACACGACUUGAAAGUUCCAGAACAUCACUUCUGCCACAUUGUACUAGGCAAGCAAGCCAUUAAGACCGACUCAGGUCUCAAAAGGUGCAGCAGCGAAGAUUUGUGACCAUCUUUAUCUACCACACACCCCCACCUGCCAGAGGAGGAAAUGAGCCGAGUGGCACCUGACUGCUUCCAGUUCUGGAGACCAGAAGUCUGAAAUGUCUUACAGGCGGAAAUCAAGGUGUCAGCAGGGCUGGUGGCUUCAGGCGGCUCCAGAGCAGAAUCCGUUCCUUGCCUCUUGUGGCUUCUAGAGGCUGCCUGUGCUCCACAGCUGUGGCCCCAUGCUCCGUCUUCAGAGCACACACUCCAACCUCUGCUCGGUCAUCACACCAUCUCUCCUCCUCGCUGACAUUGGCCCUCUCGCCUCCUGCUCACAAGGACCCUUGUGAUUCCAUUGGGCCCACUUCGAUAAUCGGGAUCAUCUCUCCAUCUCAAGAUCCUUAACUUAAUCCCAUCUGCAGUGUCCCUGUGCCAGAUGCUCACCUUUGGAACCCAGCCACCACGUUGCAAGGAAGCCCAGGCCCCAUGGAAAGGUACGCUUGAGGAAGAAACAAGCCCGCCCCGCAACAGCCAGCACCAACUUGCCAGCCAUGUGGAUAGGAAGUGGAUCCUCCAGUCCCAACCAAGCCUCCAGAUACUGCAGCCUUGGCUCACAUUUGACCACAGCUUUAUGAGAGCCAGAAUUACCCGCCAAGCCUCUUCCAGAUCCCUGAUGCUUAGAAACAGUGAGAGGUCACUCAAGUUCUUAUUUGCAGUCCCUGGAACAAGACCCGCCUCCUCUCCUCCAGGCCUGUGAACAUUCUCAUCCCCUCCUCCUCUACAUGAGACCUCCAUGGUUUGCCCCCUGCAGCCAGGUUCGUCAGCCCUCUCUACAUGUGGCCACACUGCUCCAUGCUUGCCCCAUGCUCACACUCCUCACUGUCCACUGGCCAUAUUAAAGGUGCACUAGCUUCUCCCAGAGGCUGCCAACUGAGGUCAGAGACGACUAACUGUGACCUCAGGAAUGAGGGCUCCAAUGUCAGAGGCAGCCAGCAUCCGAGGGGCCAGAGUGUAGCCGUCAACACAGAUCGUGAGGUCCCAAACACCCUCGACCUCGGCUCACAGAGAUCUUUCUUCCUUGUCCCGAAGUGGAAGGGCUGGGCUGCUGUGGGCAUGGCUGACAAAGCUUCUCCAUAACGCGUUAGCAAUUUCUGCUCACAUUCAGCAAACGUCCUUGAUGGGUGUGGACAUCGCAUUAGCAGCUCUUGAAUUAUUCUCUUGUGAAGGAGAGACCUGCCCAGGGCCAGUGAUCGAAUUCUAAGCGAGAUAACAUCGUGGGCAGGGCCCUAACACGGUGCCGAUCCAGUGACCCUGGAUAAAGGUCAGUUCUGUCCCGCUUCCUCCCGGUUCUUUCUUCUCUGUCUUUUCCCUGGCUCUUAGAAAAUCACGUAGUCUACUUAGAAGGGCCUCUGGAGAUCUUCAGGCCCUCUUCCCUGCAUUUAUCCAGGGCCCAUCCUGCCCACCCCUCCAGAGCACCCCAUCCUCCCCCAAACUGCUAAGGACGCAUCUCGCGCUGUGCCUCAUGCCAGUGGAUACAAAGUAGGUAGGGCCUCCCAUCUUCCUCAGGUCUAACCCAACACUUCUUGCUGCGGUUUAGGGAUGAGGCCAUCUUCUCUGUUUUGCCCUUCAAGAGGAUGCAAAAGGCUCUUUUUUUCUUCCUCCUUCCUUUUUCCACUCUCUGUGUUUAUUUUUUCGUGAGUGUCCUAAUUUAUCCUUCCCCAGGGCUUCAGAAGUUACCCCCACCCUUUCUCUCCCUCCUCCCAUCUCUGUCUUUGUCUUUAGAUGGGCAACUACAGAUGUUUCCCAUACACAGCCCGCCCCAACUGUCCGCCGGACCCAGUUGUCUCUGUCACACUGGGCGCCUACUUCUGGUGGUGAGCCCCGCUCCUGCCUCAUGCAGCCUGAGUGGUUGGGGCUAGCGAAACGCUGCAGCUGAAAUGGUCUGCAGGCUGGAUCCUGCGGGCUUUCCCGCCCAGCUGUCUGCAUGGGGAGAAGUACGAUUUGAGGCUGCCCUCCUGGCUCCUCUGACAAAAUGCCAGAAAUCCCUGGGCCUCUGCCCAGUCCACAGAACGGGUCCCACUGGUUCUCCUUGCCCCGGACCUCUGCCCCUGGGCUGUACUGGCCCCUUUGCCCAAAAAUUUCCAGGGCAGGCCGAGGCAAUCUGCCUGGAAAACAAACCCUGUGCUGAGCCGCGGCAGGGUGGGCCAAGGAGUUUUCGUUUGAUCCAAAAGCUCCCAGCUUGGACCAAACCUCAUAAAUCAGGAGAGGAUUUUGGGUUGUUAUUUUAAGAGCAGCCUGUCUUCUCUUGUGCUGGCUGCCUCCCUGCUCCUCCUCAGCCUCCCUCUCUCCCCUCUCCCUCUGAGAGUUGGGGAAAGGUCAGGCACGGAGAGCAGGCAGGCAGGGCCGGGAGGAAAGUGAUGGGCUCAUUUAGCAGGAGCCAUCUCCCUGCCUGGCUGUGUCCCCUGACCUUCGUUCUGACUAGAAGACCUCACUGAUGUCCCAGCCCUGCCAGUCUGGGGAAGUUACGGCCUUGUGUGUAGGGAGCAUCUUCCAACAUUGCCAGCACCCUCAUUUCCAUGAAUCCAUUUCGCCCCAGCAGCCCUGGAUGGGGUGUAGUGGGGAGAGAGGCCCCAGGGGUCCCAGAGUCAGCUGUGCCCAUGCUGGACUCUCUCCCAGUGCGCUGGCUCCCCAGGCCUCUGGAGUUGGCCCCGCCUAUGGGACUACCUGCUUAGAGAGCACGCCUUCUGUGGAUCCAGAGAAGGACUCCCAGAAGCUUCCACAUCCUGGUCUCUUAUGGAGGUGCCUGAGAGUACAGACUCUGGUUUAAAAUCUGGCUCGACCCCUUAAUGACCGUGGAGCCUUGGGCAAGUUACUCAGCUUUUCUGUGCCUUAGUUUCCUCACCUGUAAAACAGUGGUAACGAUGGGGCUGUUAGGAGAACGAAUUGAUUACCCUUUAGAAAGCGCUGAGAGCAGUGCCUGGUCCACAGUCAGUGCCGUGUGAGUGUUGGCUAAACAAAGCAGUCCCGGCCCUGAAAUCUAGGACCACACGGCUCCCAACCUUCUCUCAGGCAUGGAUGGCCCAUGGCUUCCUGGCCCUGCUCCUCCGGGCCGUUCACCUGUUCAACAAGUAUUGACUGAACACUUAUCAUGUGCCUCUGUGUUCAGCCUUGGGUUUGCUGUGUGAACAAAAUAAAAUGGUCCCUCUGCUCAUGGAAUUUACAGUAAAUGCACAAAUAAAUACAUAAUUUCAGUGUGUAUGUAGUGCAGUGUGUGGUCCACUGUAGAGGAAGAAAAGACUGGGAUAUCAUGCCAGAGAAUAACAGGGCAAAUCCACUCAGGGGCUGGAGUCUAUGAGCACCUACACGAGGAAAUGGCAUUCAGCCCCAGACCUGAAGGAUGAGGAGUAGCAGCAAUAGUGGUUGGAGGGGGAAGAGCAUUCUGACAGAG
rnacentral:lncRNA from 1 species